GCCUGAGUAGCUCAGUGGUUGAGCAUCUGCCUUUGGCUCAGGGCAUGAUCCCGGGGUCCUGGGAUCGAGUCCCACAUCAGGCU
rnacentral:tRNA from 1 species